UCCCCGAGUAUCUGCCUAAUCUUGUGUUACGAGCAGUCACUUGGCUAAGAUAAUGUGCCCGGCGCAAAUCCCGGCUAAGCACAACAACUUAUCAGUUUUUCGCCCAAGCGGUGCUUCUAGGGGAUCUCGAGAAGGGAAGAACUCUUAAUGCGCCGAGAUAGUAAACGAAGCGAAUAAAUUCGGCGAUGGAAAAUUUUUAGGUGUUAAAGUACAUGUGUUGUAGUUUGGCAGAAAGUCCAAUCAUAAUUACAUGUUACAAUUAUAACGAUUACGUUAAAGCAUAGUCGAAAAAAUAUAUGUGGUCGCAAACGCGACACAAACUCGUAAUUCGAGACGAUCAAUUACUAAAAUUGUGUCUCAUAAAACAUGGCUUGUAUACAGGGAUGAAAGGCCAAUCGACGCUCUUGUUUAUACAUGUUUUGACGAUCCGAAAAAAGUGGACAAUAUAUUUACACAAUUUGAGCAUAUACACUUGAAAAUACAUCCGAGUGUGCACUGCGUAGGACGACGUCACGAGCUGCGAGUUAUCGAGUUCUUUCGAGUUUAAGCCCUGAAAUGUUCUACGUUGGUCAUAGUAUCAUUGCUGCUGUGCCUCAUCAAGGGUUGAACUUAAUUUGGACCUAUUGAAUCUUUGUACAAAGAGCAGAAUAACAAUAAUAUUCUGCGCCUAAUAACUAUG